CUGCUUAAACACACAAUGACUCGACCCUUGAUCACUUCGUUUAAGAUUUCACCCCAUAAAAGUACGGUAAAAGUAAAUCAAAGGCAAUUAGUUUCUUAGAAUGUUUUCUUAACAGCGCCGCUACUUUAGUUGGUAGCUAGGCGCAAAUUAAUUGCCCUCUUGAAGAGAACAACGGGCAUACUCUUGGCCUCCAUGCUAUAAGAUGGGAUGGGAGGAUAGCAGCAUCUUAUAGUCCACGCAACGAGUUAGAGAAGCGAACAUGGAGAAGUAUACCAAGACGGUGCUGAUCCUUAUCCUCCUCCUUGCCGCCUUUGUUGGGGUUCUCGAAGGAAGAGAUAUCAAGAGCGAGUCCAAUCCAAACAUACAGCCUCAGAACUUCCGCAAGGUCUACAAACGCUUCUUUGGGAAGCCCAUAUUUGGCAAGGGCUCGGGCCUCAAACCUCCGUUCGGGUUCGGACAACCAGGUUAUGGCGGUGCCUUCCCCGGUUUCGGUAAAGUCCCAGGGGGCAAGGUGGGUGGCCCAUGAUCAAAUGGCUGCACGAGGGAACUAUCGAUAGGGGUGGCUCGGUAGUUUUAGUAGGCUGCAGCAGAACUAUAUAAACUGUUCUAUGUUGUGUCCGUGUGCUUAGGUUACGUCUUGCAUGUCUGUGAUUGGUGACGGUCAUAUAGUUAUGGAGCUCUAAGUUAGUUCUGUUCUAGUAUUAAGUGUGCCUUGUACGAGAUUCCACCCUCUAGAACCUGCUAGUUUUGAAGCCAAAAUGGAGUUCUCUCUCGUGUGCUUGGGCUAGCUAUUUCGUGUCUGUGAUCGGUGACGGUCAUAAAGUCAAGGGGCUCUCUUUUUUCUUAUGAAAGAAUAAAGUCAUGGAUCUCUAACUAAGUUCUGUUGCUAAUAUUUAAUGUGCUCUGUUCGAGCUUCAGCAUCUAGAACAUGCUAGCGUUGCAGCAACUCUCUCUCUCUCAUGCAUGCCAAUGUCAUCAUGAAAAUUAUAUUAGCA
rnacentral:lncRNA from 1 species